GACCUGCUGGUGGCGCUAGAUAAAAAGUCCAAAUCAACAGUCAGUUAAUGAAGUUGAUCCUCUGGGACCAAGAAUGUGUAGAAAUGUUGAUGUGAGUCCAUCAUCCAUCCUUUAGUCCAGAUCCAGUCCAUGACUAAGACUAAAGUAGUGGACUGACCAACCACUGACAUUAACAUCAGAGCCAUGCUGCUAGUGAGGCUAAAAGAAAGGAGAAGAAGAGACAGUCAUGUAGAUCUGAACAUCAGAGAAACACAUCAAGGAGCUGAAAUAUGAUCCUUCCUCCUCAUGUGACUCCUUCCCCUCAGCUGAGUAUCUCAGCAGCACACGGGUUUUUGUAUUAGUCUUUUUCACUGUGCGGCAGCAGCUGGGGCUACUUCAUCUUUGGCUCUGGAACUAAACUGUAUGUAACAGGUUGUGGAGAAACAAAUGCUGCUAUCCAGAUGACGUCUUAUUGUGGAAGGCCUUUCUUAUUUCACCAAGACAAUGUCAACAUGCAUUCUGCACGUUUUCCAACAGCAAGGCUCCGUAGUAAAAGACUGAGAACUGACCUGAAAACGGUGCAUUAUGAUCAAAAAUCAACAAGAAAAACUAAGGAGGCCCUGAAAAACCAAACCUUCUAUCAAGUCAUCAUGGAAAAUAUUUCUCUUUCUAAACUACAACAGCAAUGAGCAGGUAGUGAAGCCCGUGGUGAUGCGUGUACCCAGCAGCAUCCAGAGCCCACCUGGAGGGGAAGAGCUCUCUGCUGUGUCUGGCCUCACACAUGUUUCCUCCUGAGGUCAAGUUCUCCUGGAAAAGACAGAAGGAGGGCGGGCUCUCUGGAGGAGCUGACCCCUGGUGAGGGAGAGCAGCUGGAGCUCAGAGAGUCGGGACGCAGAGCCUCCAUCAGGCUGGUGGAUAGAGAUGAUCUCUACACAUAUGAUACAUCUGCUCCGUCGAGCACGAGGGAGGCACAGUCGAUUCCAAUCAAGAGGUUCCUCAUGUCUCUCAGUACAAAGUGAAGCUGCUCUGUCUGCAGUACACAGUGCUGAUAGUGAAGAGUCUGGUGUACUGCUGUGGACUCUCUCUGCUGAUGAUCCUCAGAAACAAGUGACCGUCCACCAGCUCCACACAUGCUGACUGACUGUUUUCUGCUCCUCUUUUCUCUCCAUACAUCUCAUCACUUCAUCUCAUUCAUCACUUUGAUCAUCUUCAGAAAUGUUGUUGA